AGAGUUUGAUCCUGGCUCAGGACGAACGCUGGCGGCGUGCCUAACACAUGCAAGUCGCACGAACGGAGAAGAGCUUGCUCUUCAAUGUUAGUGGCGGACGGGUGCGUAACACGUGAGCAACCUGCCCUGCGGCGGGGGACAGCCAGUCUAACGGCUGGGUAAUACCGCGUACGACCCUUGAGUCGCAUGGCUCGAGGGUGAAAGCGGCCGCAAGGUCGCGCCGCAGGAGGGACUCGCGGCCUAUCAGCUUGUUGGUGGGGUAACGGCUCACCAAGGCGACGACGGGUAGCUGGUCUGAGAGGAUGAUCAGCCACAUUGGGACUGAGAUACGGCCCAGACUCCUACGGGAGGCAGCAGUGGGGAAUAUUGCGCAAUGGCCGCAAGGCUGACGCAGCGACGCCGCGUGUGGGAUGAAGGCCUUCGGGUUGUAAACCACUGUCGGGGGGGACGAAUACUCGGCUUCGAUAAGGAGACCGAGGGUGACGGUACCCCCAGAGGAAGCACCGGCUAACUCCGUGCCAGCAGCCGCGGUAAUACGGAGGGUGCAAGCGUUGUCCGGAAUCACUGGGCGUAAAGCGCACGUAGGCGGUCUCGUAAGUCAGCUGUGAAAUCCCGGAGCUCAACUCCGGGCCUGCAGUUGAUACUGCAUGACUAGAGCUC
rnacentral:rRNA from 1 species